GCUAGCGUAGCUCAGCGGUAGAGCUCCCGCUUUGUAAGCGGGUGGUCGUGGGUUCGACUCCCACCGCUAGCU
rnacentral:tRNA from 1 species